GACGGAGGGUGCAAGCGUUAAUCGGAAUACUGGGCGUAAAGCGUGCGCAGGCGGUUCGUUAAGUUCGUCGUGAAAGCCCGGGCUCAACCUGGGAACUGCGAUGGAAACUGGCGGGCUUGAGUGUGGCAGAGGGGGGUGGAAUUCCGCGUGUAGCAGGUGAAAUGCGUAGAGAUGCGGAGGAACACCGAUGGCGAAGGCAGCCCCCUGGGCCAACACUGACGCCUCGAGGCACGAAAGCGUGGGGAGCAAACAGG
rnacentral:rRNA from 1 species